rnacentral:rRNA from 1 species
CCUACGGGAGGCAGCAGUGAGGAAUAUUGGUCAAUGGUCGGGAGACUGAACCAGCCAAGCCGCGUGAGGGAUGAAGGUACAGAGUACCGUAAACCUCUUUUGUCAGGGAACAAAGGCGGGGACGCGUCCCCGGAUGAGUGUACCUGAAGAAACAGCAUCGGCUAACUCCGUGCCAGCAGCGGCGGUAAUACGGGGGAUGCGAGCGUUAUCCGGAUGUAUUGGGUUUAAAGGGUGCGCAGGCGGUCUGUUAAGUCAGCGGUCAAAGCCCGGGGCUCAACCGCGGCCCGCCGUUGAAACUGGCAGUCGCGAGUUGGAGAGAGGUGUGCGGAAGGCGCGGUGUAGCGGUGAAAUGCAUAGAUAUCGCGCAGAACUCCGAUGGCGAAGGCAGCAUGCCGGCUCCACACUGACGCUGAGGCACGAAAGCGUGGGUAUCGAACAGGAUUAGAUACCCGAGUAGUC